GAUUCUAUCGCACUAUCGUCUCGUCGUCGUUCGAUCUCCCUCUCUCCUUGCUUAGGCGCGCGCGCUUUGCCGCCGUGGAUAUCGCUCCCUCUCUCCGCAUGUGAUCGCCUCGAUGUCGUUCAAUUUCCGUCUCCGACGAUGUUAAGGUCAUAAAGAAGAGGAGGUGGGGAAAAAACUUGACCAAACCAUUGGCGGAUUCGUUUUUGGAGGGGGCUUAUUUGCUUUUCUGUUGAUUUCUCAAGCGUUCUUUCAUGGUUUUUCAUUCUUUCAACUCCAAAGUUCCCGUCUUCAUGUCUCCAGUUUGUAUGCAAGUAUACCAAGAGCUUUACGUUGCCGGAUGUCCUGUUUUGUACUGAAUCAUUUGUUGGGCUGCUUAUCAUUCAUGUAGAUAAGUUUAGGUCUGUGGGAAUUCGAUUGUUUAUAUUAUAUUUGUGGGUUCUUGUUACGUUCUUCCUUGGAGCUCAUUGAUUGAUAAUUCAAGUUUCACAAUCUCUAAACAUUCAGGUCAGGCUCCACUUGAGCUAAAAUCUUUGAUUUUCUCAUGCAUACGAAUAUUGCAACGCUUAUAAAAAGUUAAAAUGUUUUUCUUUUCCU